rnacentral:lncRNA from 1 species
GCCGCCGCUGGCGCCGCCUCUCUCUCUCUCUCUCUCUCUGUGUCUCUCUAUCUCUUGCUUCGUCCUGUACAUACACGUCUACGUAGUAUCUCUCUCUCUCUCUCUCUCUCUCUACUGGUUUUUGGUUGUUCUUUACUCGGAAGACUGUCCCGUUUUGUCUCUUGUUGCCUGCCCCCGCCAUAAUUUUAAUCCCGCAUCGUUUAAUAAUUAAUCUUACUCGUAGACGAUGCUAUUUAUAGCCCCACUGCACAGUGACAGCGUAAGAAGAUUCUAGAAAGAAAGAGAGGAUGGCCUGCAAGCCUCCCCGAAUUUGUGCAGGUUCUUCGCCGUACGUCGAUCCCGCUAGUUUCUUCCAUUCCUGCUGCUCAUUGCUCGUCAUUUGCUAUGCUGCUCACGGUAUGUGCGAUCCGUGAUUGCGAUUCUCGGAGUCGGAUCAUCGCCGGCUACCACUGAUUAUAAUGUCUAUACUAUUUCCUGAAUUUUAUUCGAAUAUCUCAUCAGAUCCAUCUAUGAUCACAUUAUCCCUCCCUUCCGAGUCGGUAACGUCCAUCUUUGAUUACUCUUCGAUCUAUGCUGCUCACAGUACGUGCGAUCCAUGAUUGUGAUUCUAGGAGUCGAAUCUUCGCCGGCUACCACUGAUUAUAGCGUCUACAUUAUUUCCAGAAUUUUAUACGAAGAUCUCAUCAAAUGCAUCUAUAAUCACAAUUAUCCCUUCCGAGACGGUAAUGUCCAUACUUUCAUGAUCCCCCUAUUUUCAUUCCUGUUGCUUAUCUAAUGUGCUCACAGUAUUUGCAAUUCGUGCUGGUGAUUCUUGGAAUCCGAUCUAUACUAUUCCCUGAAUUUUAUACGAAGAUCUCAUCAAAUCCAUUCAUAAUUACAUUAUCCCGUCCGAGACGGUAAUGUCCAUAAUUUCAUGAUCCCCCUAUUUUCGUUCCCGUUGCUUACUACUCUUUACAUGCUAUGCUGCUCACUGUAUGUCCGAUCCGUUAUUGUGAAAUCUUGGAGUCGGAUCUCCGCGGGCUACCGCUGGUUACAGCGUCCAUAUUAUUUCUUGAAUUUUUUCCAGAGAUCUCAUCAGAUCCAUGCAUAAUUGUCUCAUCCCGUCCGAGUCGGUAGUAACGCCCACGAUUCCAGAAUCCUGUAAUAUCGUCUGAGAAAGGGACGGCUGGGCCCCCGGCCUCUGUACCGUAUUCUAAUGGACAAUCGGCGGACUACGACCCCUUUAUGCCGCAGGAAAAGUCCUCAUGCGACGCCCCCUGAUACUGUUGAAAAAUACUCAAAAAAUACGCCAUCCCUCCCUCAAUUAAUCUGCAUAUUAUAUUCUCACACAGAAGAGAGAUGGAUAGAGAGAUGGGUGAGCUGACCAGGGCCGUAACUUUACUGUCAGCUUCUCCAAUCAUCUACGGAUUCAGAGAAGAGA